rnacentral:rRNA from 1 species
GACGAGGGGUCCAAGCGGUUGUUCGGAAUUAUUGGGCGUAAAGCGGGUGUAGGUGGCGUCUAUAAGUCAGGAGUGAAAUCCCCAAGCUUAACCUUGGGAAGUGCUUUUGAUUACUGCAGAGCUUGAAUGUGGGAGAGGAUAAGUAGAAUUCCAGGUGUAGUGGUGAAAUACGUAGAUAUCUGGAGGAAUACCGGUGGCGA